rnacentral:lncRNA from 1 species
GCUGUAGGCUUCUCUGUGUUGCCAACAUAACUGUCCAGUGUAAAAAAUUAGCCGUCUCAGAUUCAUUGUCCCCCAGUGUACAUACGUAGCUACAACAAUACGAUACAAUAUCGAUACAUGAUACAUGUACGAAGCAUCUUACACUGUGUAUGCUCGAUAAUGGAUUUAUUGUACCGGCUGAGAACAACAAAGUGACAAGGCAAUUUUUGUUCUUACGGUAGCCAAGUUGGUUGCGUCCAUCUUGUUACCGGCGAUCCAUUCACCGGCCUCACUUUUGUGGUCCUCGCUGUUCCCAGCAACUUCACCUAAGAAAUUGAGCAAAGCCCACAGAGUGUCACGAUUUGGCGCCGGCAACAGUUGAAUCAAAUGCUGCAGAGCUUCCUGCUGCAGUCGUCUGUUUCUUAUCUCUGUAAUUUACAUGAACCGUAUUUCAACAUUCACGAGUCGGGUAAUACAGUUGCAUCCACACCAAUGUGUCCCAUGCCAACCUACUCUGUGUGUGAACGAACGCUUGGUAGAGAUCUCUGCACAAAAGAGGAUCUGGUAAAUCCCGGAAGUAUUCCUUCAGCAGAGCAGCCACAUCGUGCGGGCAUUGGUCAGGGCCAAUUUUCGACUCUCGGCCACAGUCGAAAUCUUCUCGCAGCUAUAACAAUGCAUCAGUUUUGAGUUAAAUUCCGAAUACGGUGCGCUUUAGCCGAAGAUGGAAGUAACUCUGAUAGCAGCAACAUGAAAGGGAUACCUCCGCUUUGGCAGAGGGAGAUACGCGAAAUAUACCGAGGGUAUGAAGUCCGCUGACUUGGAGGUAUUUGAUGCAUUGUUGGACAACGGCUGGAACGGAAUCCCAUUCACCCGGAAAUCCACCACCGCCACCACUGUCGCUCAGCUCUAGCAAUCCCGAGUCACUGCUGGUCAAAGCCCCAGCUUUCGACGAUCGCUUGAACUUGCAGGCACCGACACUGCAAUUUGACAAAUCUACAGGUUGUUUAAGCUUGUCUUCGAAGAGAAAUAUUACAUCAGUAUCUGAGGUACCAAAUUUUUUGUUUAGCUAAACAGGUAUAAAAUUUAAGAUCAGUAACGGUGAUCUAUAUUCGUAUAAACAGUUGUUACGGUAUACUUAUUUGACGCGUUCUGGUUACACUUACAAACAUGUCACCGCAAUACAGAAAAUUGCACAUGAGUUUGGUCCAGGCAUUCAAUGGUGAACAUUGCUUUUCAUAAUGUAGUAGUUCCACAGAUCUUGCGCAUCAUCUUAAGGAUGUAGAGGCGUGUAGGUCGAAAUCGUGCCAAUGAAAAUAAAAUUAUACAAACAGGUCUCAUUUUUAUUUUCGACACCUGUGUAAAAUUUGGAAGCGAUUGUCUGAACCAUACCGGAGUUAUUUUACUUCUAAUUGUUUGUAAUCUUACAUUGAUUCUUACGGGAAACUGUUAGGCUGAAUGUAAAAUCACGAAAAAGAAAAAGUAAGAUAACGCCGGUACGGUUCAGACAAUAGCUUUUAUAUUUUACACCGGUGUUUAAAAUAAAAGUGAAAACAAACUGUGUAAUUUUCCUUAAUUUAGCACGAUUUUGAUCUAUACGCCCGUACACCCUUAAAUUCGACAAGUUCACUUCUCCAUUUAUUUCUUGAUAUAAUUUAUGCGACGGAGAAAAGGAUAAGAAACGAGCGGGCGUUACAGACGGACUGCAGAUAGUCGCGCAUGCGUACCAUGCGUGGUUCCGAUUGAAAAUCUUGGCGCAAUGUUACAAGCUCUCCUUUAAAUAAAGCCUCUUACAAAAUUAAGCGGUCUUAAUUAACCCGACGGUAAAAUUAGUCCCUCUGGCCCUGUUCUAUUUUCGUCUACGAUCUGUGACGUCACGUUUCGCCUUUGCGAUGACGAUCAACUGCAUGCAACGUAGUUUCGCUAGUUGCCAGUUUGAAUCGGUCAGGUGUGCCGACGUAGUCUUAUAUAUACAUGCCACGAAAAUUUAGAAUAUUAAAUUACGCCAUGCCUGCGCGUAAUAUAUUUCACACCAAGAUCGUCGAAUUUACUAUUGAAGUGUAAACCUAUAUUA